GCGCGGGGUUUGGUGAGGGAGGUUCGCUGCCGAGAGACAACGGCAGCCCCCGCUCAGCUGGUCGCAGCUCCCGUGCCCGGGGGGCGGCACUCGCCGCCUUUUUCACGUGGCUGGUGAUGCAACCGGGCGUUAAACGGCUUUCGUGCCAACCUCUGGAAGGGCCGGUUCCGAGCCUGCCGAAACGCACCGAAACGCGACCUUAGGCGCCUCCCCCACCCCGCUUUGUCCCGGGCCCCUCCCCGCCCCCCGCACGCAGCCCCUCCCGCCGAGCGCAGCGUCCCGGGGAACGAACCUGCGGGCCGCGCCGCGCUCCGCCCCGUGGGCCGAAGCGGCCAGACCUCUCCCGUGAAAGGCGAGGAGCGCCGCCGCCCCCGAGCUGCGGGGCCGCGUGCCGGCCUACGGAUCGCUUCCAUUGUGAUUCGUCCCAUUCGGAGAAAGCGGCAUUCUCCAGUCCACGUUUGCCCCUUCCGCUGUCGUACAAGAACUGCCUUGGGCGGACAUUAAAGCUCUGCCGAUGAAGCGCCCCGUCUCACAAGAGCGCAAGGCGCUCCCACCGCCCGACCGCUUCCUCCAGGGCUGAGGUCCUCGCUGCCCCCAGGCCCUGCGUGCCUUACAGCUGGAACUUCAACUGCGAGGUCCAGGGAGAACAACCAGGCAGUGUGAGAUCAUGCUUUUAUGGCUGAAAGAAGCCUCGCUGCCAUGAGGACUUUCUGAAUUUGGAAUAAGCUCACACUUCAGUUUUGAUUUGUGAUGAAUCUUAUUCAUGUAUUGGAUGUUCUCUGCUGUGCUGUUUUCAUCAAUCCAAUAUGUCAAAUUUUAUAGAUAUCAAAAAUCUAUCCCAAUCUGCUGAAACCAGAGAAAGGAAAAACAAGUUGUGCUGAACACUCCUCCCUGGUGUGAGAUAAAAAGUGAUAAGCUGACUUUCAUUGAAACUCAUGUUUUCAUCUGUUAGCUAUCAUUGAUUUCACAAACUGCAUCAAACCUAUCCCAUAGCAAAUUUAAUAUCAGUAAUCCAAGAGAUCAAUGUAUUUAAGAUGUGGUCUAAGAACAAGGCAAGGAGUAAAACUUACAUUUGUAUCAUUUUAAUAAUCAGACACCAUUUUUUAUCUCUGCAAUAAUUAGAACAAGCUGAACAGGAAGAAGAAAAAAGAGAUAAAUGUUCGACACUUCAGCAACUUUACCAUCAUCAACAUGUCUCAAUUUUAAAAUAGUAAAGAAAAGCAUAGGGGAUCCCCUUUAUACCUGACUUAGCUGAGAUCACCUCUGAGCCACAACACACCAUCUGUGUACCACCACCAUUCAAUACCACAGAACAGAAUAACAGACAUAAAUAUGCCAUCUAUUUGAAACUGCAGGAACUCUGUAAGCAGAGUGCUGUUAUCUGAAUUGGAAUUUGACCAGGAUGUUUACUUACGGAUUUUAACAAAAUAAUUGCAGUAUGCUCACCAAGAAAGAAGACAUUUCCAAGGAACAGCAUCAUUCAUGGCCUCCACUCAUGGGUAAAGCUGGAGCUGCAAGAACAAAAUGCCCCACAACAGAACCCCGGGGGUCUCUGCUCUGUUGCACAAUGACAGCCGGAGCUCCGGAAGGAAUUGUUCUGGUUUGGAACUGGGCUACGAUUUUCCAGGUUGAGACAGAACUAACAUCAUUCAAGAAUUUGUAAUACGAGACUUGAGCAUUUUAUUUUGUUUGGUAGCUGAGCUUCUCUUGGGAUAUCUUAUUCACAGUCAGGUCCCUAGUAUAAGUGAUACCAGCAAAAUCCAAAUCAUCCAACAUUGUACUGUAUCUUCCUUAAGGGAAAUGGGGAUAGAGGCAGAAAGGGAAAGAAGGUUGUUUCUUUUAGCAGGAAAAAUGUACUACAAAACUACAGUAAUUUUCAAUUCCUACCUGUUUACCUUCACCCCAAUACAUGAACAUGAGAAACCUACCAACUAGCUGGCCUGUAUUAGGGUUUCAGUACAGUAAGUUAUUAUGCAUCACCUAGAAUAACCGUUUUACUUAGAGCAAAAAAAGGGCAUUUCCUCAAAUACAUUAACUGCAAAGUUCACUUAACGUGAUGGAAUCAUUUUGAGGUGCAGAACCGAACCCUUGAAAAUAUUCACUGAAAAAGUAAAUUUUAAUUUGACUUUAUUAUAAAGAAAAGUUUAAAAAGCUAUCGGUAAAUGUAAUAUUUCAACUAAAAAUUAAUUACAACAUUUUAGUUAUUCCAGAUUUAAAAAAUAAACAAACAGACAAAAAAAAAAAAAAAAAA